rnacentral:lncRNA from 1 species
AGAAAAAACUUCUGGACCGAUGACAAGGUCAUCCAACUUUAUUCAUAUAUAUAUGCAUAAGGCACGGAGUAUACAUGCAAAGUACAAGCAUACGUAAGUAUAUAUGGUACAAAAAGAAUAACGAAUACGACUCGAUGAAACCGCCGCUCAAAUCUCCAAGAGAAAGCUACGCAUAUGCAGUAUGUAUAAGCAUGGCACACAUGCUUCUACUGCAUAAUCUUCGCCACGAGCAGGGAUACCAGCGCGGACGACACCACGGCCACGGCGGACGCCGCCGGAGCGGAGGCCGCCCCGGCGAUCGGAGAGGGCGCGGGCGCGGACGACGGCGCCGUGGUGAACUCCUGCGCCGACGCGGAGGCGACGAGCACGGCCGCGGCGAGGAGCAGCACGGAGGCGAAGCGUGAAGCCAUCUCGGGACGAUCGACUUGCUGGAAGGCUUUGAACUUGCUUGCUAGCUCUCGAAGACUCUGCUGCGGCGGUGGCGGUGGCGGUGGCGGUGUGCGUGUACUCUGCUGCGGAUUGCGAUGCUGCGAUGGGGGGAGGAGGUUUAUAUAGGCCGCCCAAGCGGAGGGCUGCGCCGUGGGAUCGGCGGGUCGCAGUCGUGGGUUUAAUUUCUCUCCGUGUCCGCGCGCGUCUGCGUUCCUUCCGCGGGGGGCACGGCACGGCAC